rnacentral:lncRNA from 12 species
ACAACCAGCUUUCAUGAGUGAAAAAAAGGCAUGGAUAAUAGUAUUUGACCCACAGCCAACAUCAAGCUACCAUCAUAAAUUUACCUAAUGCAGAUUUUGGAAGAGGUGUGCACAGUUGGCUCUGGUGAGCUCUGGUGGGAAUAUAGCUCAGCAUAGCACUGGUCACAAACCUCAUUUCCUGAAUGUAGCUGAAAACUGGCUUAACAUACAUGUGAAAUACUUUAGGUGGCUUAUACUUUCAUGAUCAUUACAUUCUACCAACCAAGUGGAUAAACUGUUGUCAUCACGAUUUAGGAAUAAAAAGAAAGUAUUACUUCAUUCUUUUCCCUAUAGUCUGAGGUCAGUGAAAUCUGAGACAUCUGGGCGGCAUGAAUAAUAUGUCAUAAUUAUAAGUUCCUGAUAGUACAUCGAAGAGCUCUGUGUAUGUAAUAAAUAGGAAUAUAAGUAGGAUGGAGCAUUACAGUGUCUAACACAAGGUCAUGUGGUCCUAGUCGUGUAUUUCCUUUGCAGCUAUGCAACUACCAGUUUUUUUUUCUUCCAGUUUGACAGCAUUAUUUCUCUUUCAGGCCUGCUUCAGUGACUCUCUCUUCCCAAUAGAACAUAAUCGCUUCCUUGGCUGAGGAUUUUCCCAAGGUUCUUGGAAGUUGCUGGUAGUCUGGCUCAUGUUGGGUAAACUAUGACACAUGCUGCUGAGAAAUUAGAUUGCUGCCAAAUAUUAAAACAGAUUAAGUCAGUACCAGAGAAAGAAAACUUGUUCUGUAUCUACUGCUAUGUGAUGGGAGAAAGGUAGACAAAUUUUACUUGUUUUAAAAUUUCCUGUCAUCCACAGAUCACUGUAGAGACUACAGAAGCCUUUUUUCAGCUAUGCUAAGGGAGAAAUAAAGCCAAUGAAUUUCAGACUGAAGCUUAUGGA